CGUAGGGUGCGAGCGUUAAUCGGAAUUACUGGGCGUAAAGCGUGCGCAGGCGGUUUUGUAAGACAGAUGUGAAAUCCCCGGGCUCAACCUGGGACCUGCAUUUGUGACUGCAAGGCUAGAGUACGGUAGAGGGGGAUGGAAUUCCGCGUGUAGCAGUGAAAUGCGUAGAGAUGCGGAGGAACACCGAUGGCGAAGGCAAUCCCCUGGACCUGUACUGACGCUCAUGCACGAAAGCGUGGGGAGCAAACAGGAUUAGAUACCCUGGUAGUCCACGCCCUAAACGAUGUCAACUGGUUGUUGGGUCUUUACUGACUCAGUAACGAAGCUAACGCGAUAAGCAAUCCGCCUGGGGAGUACGGUCGCAAGGCUG
rnacentral:rRNA from 1 species